CUCUCACUCAGGUCUCGUAAUGCCAGUGACCAGUGAAGUGAAUGAGGAAGAACAAUGGUUCACCAUAGAGCUUAAUUCACCAUUGCAGUUUUUGUUAAUGAUAUCAGAGGCGUACAAGGAAGGUCUAAUUUCAAAAAGUGAACUUACAUUCUUUUUUACUUCUUUUUUAACUAAAAAUAAUGAGUAAACGAGUUUAUGUAACGUAUGUAGCAGAAGCACAGGAAAGGAAAACAUUGAUGAAAUUUGAGCGGGGAGAUUUGGGCAAUUUCAGCAGCAUAACCCAAAAAAUUAAAUCAAAAUUUUCUCUCCCAAGUGACGGGAAAUAUUCCUUUGAAGGAAUCUUUGAAAAAAAUGGGCCAUAUGUUGAAAUAGAUGACAUGGACGAAGACAUAUUAGAAGAUAUCAUUGAUCUGAAAUUUUCUGAAAAGUGCAAUACAUCAAAACACACUUUGGGGGAAUGUCUACCCAGUAGUCAAACAAUCAAUACCCUUGAGAGAUCUGCGUCUUCUGAUUCAGCAAACUCAAUUGCCUCCACCAUUGACUAUAUGAACAACUCGCCUUGAGAGAUCUGCGUCUUCUGAUUCAGCAAACUCAUUUGCCUCCACCAUUGACUAUAUGAACAACUCGCCUUGAGAGAUCUGCGUCUUCUGAUUCAGCAAACUCAUUUGCCUCCACCAUUGACUAUAUGAACAACUCGCCUUGAGAGAUCUGCGUCUUCUGAUUCAGCAAACUCAUUUGCCUCCACCAUUGACUAUAUGAACAACUCGCCUUGAGAGAUCUGCGUCUUCUGAUUCAGCAAACUCAUUUGCCUCCACCAUUGACUAUAUGAACAACUCGCCUUGAGAGAUCUGCGUCUUCUGAUUCAGCAAACUCAUUUGCCUCCACCAUUGACUAUAUGAACAACUCGCCUUGAGAGAUCUGCGUCUUCUGAUUCAGCAAACUCAUUUGCCUCCACCAUUGACUAUAUGAACAACUCGCCUUGAGAGAUCUGCGUCUUCUGAUUCAGCAAACUCAUUUGCCUCCACCAUUGACUAUAUGAACAACUCGCCUUGAGAGAUCUGCGUCUUCUGAUUCAGCAAACUCAUUUGCCUCCACCAUUGACUAUAUGAACAACUCGCCUUGAGAGAUCUGCGUCUUCUGAUUCAGCAAACUCAUUUGCCUCCACCAUUGACUAUAUGAACAACUCGCCUUGAGAGAUCUGCGUCUUCUGAUUCAGCAAACUCAUUUGCCUCCACCAUUGACUAUAUGAACAACUCGCCUUGAGAGAUCUGCGUCUUCUGAUUCAGCAAACUCAUUUGCCUCCACCAUUGACUAUAUGAACAACUCGCCUUGAGAGAUCUGCGUCUUCUGAUUCAGCAAACUCAUUUGCCUCCACCAUUGACUAUAUGAACAACUCGCCUUGAGAGAUCUGCGUCUUCUGAUUCAGCAAACUCAUUUGCCUCCACCAUUGACUAUAUGAACAACUCGCCUUGAGAGAUCUGCGUCUUCUGAUUCAGCAAACUCAUUUGCCUCCACCAUUGACUAUAUGAACAACUCGCCUUGAGAGAUCUGCGUCUUCUGAUUCAGCAAACUCAUUUGCCUCCACCAUUGACUAUAUGAACAACUCGCCUUGAGAGAUCUGCGUCUUCUGAUUCAGCAAACUCAUUUGCCUCCACCAUUGACUAUAUGAACAACUCGCCUUGAGAGAUCUGCGUCUUCUGAUUCAGCAAACUCAUUUGCCUCCACCAUUGACUAUAUGAACAACUCGCCUUGAGAGAUCUGCGUCUUCUGAUUCAGCAAACUCAUUUGCCUCCACCAUUGACUAUAUGAACAACUCGCCUUGAGAGAUCUGCGUCUUCUGAUUCAGCAAACUCAUUUGCCUCCACCAUUGACUAUAUGAACAACUCGCCUUGAGAGAUCUGCGUCUUCUGAUUCAGCAAACUCAUUUGCCUCCACCAUUGACUAUAUGAACAACUCGCCUUGAGAGAUCUGCGUCUUCUGAUUCAGCAAACUCAUUUGCCUCCACCAUUGACUAUAUGAACAACUCGCCUUGAGAGAUCUGCGUCUUCUGAUUCAGCAAACUCAUUUGCCUCCACCAUUGACUAUAUGAACAACUCGCCUUGAGAGAUCUGCGUCUUCUGAUUCAGCAAACUCAUUUGCCUCCACCAUUGACUAUAUGAACAACUCGCCUUGAGAGAUCUGCGUCUUCUGAUUCAGCAAACUCAUUUGCCUCCACCAUUGACUAUAUGAACAACUCGCCUUGAGAGAUCUGCGUCUUCUGAUUCAGCAAACUCAUUUGCCUCCACCAUUGACUAUAUGAACAACUCGCCUUGAGAGAUCUGCGUCUUCUGAUUCAGCAAACUCAUUUGCCUCCACCAUUGACUAUAUGAACAACUCGCAAAUCUCAUCAAGGAGUGUCAGCCCAUGCAGAUCUUCAACCAGUAUUUCAUCAGAUGUGUCUGAGCUGUCACCAUCAACUAGCAAACCAACAGAAUCGGCCAAGGUGGUGUUUGAUGCUAAAAAGAUCUUGGAUGGACACCCAAAGGGACACGCAAUUUUGGAAGAAUACAACAAAAAUGGGUACAUCUCUCCAGGGUC